GACGAACGCUGGCGGCGUGCUUAACACAUGCAAGUCGAACGGUGAUGCUCCAGCUUGCUGGAGUGGAUCAGUGGCGAACGGGUGAGUAACACGUGAGCAACCUGCCCCAGACUCUGGAAUAAGCGCUGGAAACGGCGUCUAAUACUGGAUACGAAACUGGCCCGCAUGGUCAUGGUUUGGAAAGUUUUUCGGUUUGGGAUGGGCUCGCGGCCUAUCAGCUUGUUGGUGAGGUAAUGGCUCACCAAGGCGACGACGGGUAGCCGGCCUGGGAGGGCGACCGGCCAGACUGGGACUGAGAGAGGGCCCAGCCUCCUACGGGCGGCAGCAGUGGGGAAUAUUGCACAAUGGGCGAAAGCCUGAUGCAGCGACGCCGGGUGAGGGAGGACGGCCUUCGGGUUGUAACCUCUUUCAGCAGGGAAGAAGCGAAAGUGACGGUACCUGCAGAAGAAGCACCGGCUAACUACGUG
rnacentral:rRNA from 1 species